rnacentral:lncRNA from 1 species
UUGACAAAAUUCAUGUGUUUCAAUUAUAUUCUUAAGCUCUCUUACCAUUACAUGCCUCCUUAUUACAGCCAUACUGAAAAAUAAAUGAAUUGAAUAAUCAUAUUAAAAGGUAAAGUAAAUACAUGUUGUUGGGUAAAAACUUGUACAAGCAGCUUGCCACCUGAGGUUUUUGUGAUUAAGAAACUUCGUGAGGUCAGUUAGCAAAUUACUACGUACUCUGAUUUCAUGCAAAUUUGUUUCCUGGCCAUGGGCUGAAAAAAGAUGCAAACAAACAUUUAUUUUAGUAGUUGAAAGAGUUUAAGAAGUUGUUUAUGCUUCUACAUGCAUGGUACAAACAUGGUAAAAAUGCAUGGUAUUGUUUUAUGCUCAAUGUGGCUUCCGCAUGAUGUUAAACGUUCCUUACUGCGCACACAUCGCAAGAAGUUUUGAAUCAGAAAAGAAAUUGACGAUUCAUGCCUCGAGGUAGCAGAACUUACUUUUCCAGGCCAGUUGACCCUUCUGAGGGGGCUUGAACCCCCUUGACCGCUUCUGAAAAUAUGGAUGGUACAAGUUUGUGUUAGUUGUUUCAAUAUCCUGUUAUCAGAAAAUACAUCUCAGAACAACAGAUAUUUAGAGUUAGUGUACGAAAGAACAAUUAAACAAUGGUGAAUUAUGUACUGUUACAUUUCAAAAGUCUGUUCCUUACCCAUUUGGAGCCAUAUCCUGCAAAUCAAGGGAAACAGUUGGUUAGAUGUUAAUGUUUUUGCACCGAAAUGCAUCUACGUGGCUGAAUCAUUUCAAUGACAUUUAUACCCCACCUUACUUUUUAACCCUUUCUCUCCCAAGAUCUUACUGGUAAUUGUUCGUACUAUCUUCCAUAAAAAUCCCAAGAUGUUAGUUCUAAGAAUUAAGUAGUGAAUUAAAUAAUACUCCCCUAAUUGAUUUUUUUUCCUUUUUUCUCAUCUUUUGUCUUCUUGAUAUUGCAUUGUUAUGGUAAGGAGAAAUUCUGUCUCGCCCAGUCAUGGGAGUUAAGAGAUUAUAAGUCAGUCUUCAUAGUCAGCACUCAAAAUGUAACGAUGCCAGUAGAAACUUUUGAAAAUCUAUUCUUUGAUCAUUUCCAAAGAGCCAAAAGAGAAUCACCAAUAUUUGCACAUGUGAAGGUCUUACAUUAGAUGAUUCCUGAACUCCCUUGUUUCCUUUGUGACCUAGCUCGGGGUUUAUGGAUCUGAAAAUGACACAAAGUGACACUCAUUCGUCGAUAACUGAUGGUAUGGUGACGUUGGUUAAGUUAGAGACUGAAUUUUGGGUCGGAAGUGAGAGCUUUGAGAAGGGAGACCAGAAUUCACCUUUCUCUCUGAGCCUAAUUCAGUUAUGAUUCCACCUUGCGGAAAGAGGAAUCCAUAGACCAUUUGCACUUGCUGGGCUGCCAUCUUUCUUGAUUCUACAUCGAAUACAAAAUGAAUUCAACAACGUUUAGCUGUACCACGUUACUUGGUUGAGCUGUUUUGGAUGUAAGACUAGAGCUUGAGGACAUGAAUGAAUCCGUGAGCGUCGACGAGAUCAGAUACAGAUGAAGGAGCGUGGAGGCAGGAUGGUGAAGAAUUCAAAAACAAAAUCUUACAUGAAGACGUGAUAGGCAAGAGAAGCGCUUGCCUUUCCUUUAACAAUUAAAAAUCGAAACUAACCAGAGAAAAAGUGCCAUUGAUUAGCGUUAGGAUUAAAAUAUAAAUGGUGCGUACUUACACGCAGCUAUUUAUUCGGUGAGGUUUGAGUCCUGAUUUUCCUAACGGAAAGGGUUAAAAGAUAAAAGAACAUUCAUGAGGCAUUAGGUGGUGGUGAAACGUAGAAGUAAAAAAUUUUAAUAACAGAACCACUAGAGUUACCAAUAGGAGACAUAGUAUAGUUUGCUAAUACAUUGUACAACUCGUGCGCGAAUAACCUCUAAGACCACAUGAGAUCCUUCAUUUGGAUGUCUUGCAUUAAGAAAACAUCCGUACUUUUUUUCAAUUUUGUGUUCACAGUUUUGAAACAAAUCAGGUCCUAGCGUUUACCCAGGUUUUACUCAGAAAGCCGUGCUAACAUGCUAGUAUGGCUGAAACGGUUUUUUAGUCGUUCUUAAUUACGACAAAGGCACGUGUAUACUAUCUCUUCCUGCUCUUCGUGAAAUUGAAGAAAGACCUUAUGAUUAUGAAGAAAAUGUCACAAAGGUAGUAAAAUCUCAACUUACCGCAGACGUGGAGACUUAAAGAGUUGUCGAGAUGUGAACAAACACUAUCAUUUCGAUGAGGGUUUCGUUUUCCAGUUUGGCCUUUGUACACCAGCUGCUAAAUCGUUAUACUUUCAUUGGUGGCGGCAACUUCUUGGACGCACAGCUAAUGUGUCCAAAAUUUGGCGGCAAAGUUGUAAAGUCCAAAACAAGUGUUUUCCAUGAUGGCGGCGACUGGGUGCCAAACGGAGAAGAGAGAGGUACGUGACAGUCAUGGAAGAACACUGGUGUCCCUUUCAUACCGUCACGAAAGUGAGGUCGAGGCUUUGUAUACCUAAUUGAUCUCUGCUGAUAGAGUCUAAGGUUCUGUUCUAAAUCGAGGCGUGUGAAAAGUCUUAGUACCGAAUAUAAUCACCUCAUUGUUAUGAAAGUAGACGCAUUUAAGCGUAAGGCUUAAUUUCAUUUUGAGAGUGAGAUGAACGUGUGGGAGGUCUAGCAAUCCUCGAUUGUAAUCUUCGGUCUGUUUGUACUCCAGCACGCCUAGGUAAUAGAUACCGAAAUACAGAUCUGGGAAAGUAAAGAAGAUGGUUUUUACUCUUUUCUUCACAGAAUUGUUUUUGUUUCAUAAUGGGACUUCCUACAAAUGAAGGGGGGAUAAUGAAUGUUGGCCACGCACAAAUUCUGGCACCUUGUGGGAAUCACCUUCGCCCUUUUUUUAUGGGAUCACUUGUCAUUCCAUAAUCAAAGUCUUGCUCAAAGUCACUCCACGAGGCAAAAUGACUUAGAACCUUACUUAGCUGACAACUGAUCUGACAGACACUAGUUGCCAACAGCCAAAUCAUGUCUAACAGGAAGGGAACCAUAAACUUAACCGAAAGUUUUCCUUUUUCAUACCGACAGAGUGGAAAAAUGACAAGCAAAACACCUAGGUUAUCAUCAACUACGUCUUUGAAUUUCUUCGAUGAAUUUAAUUUUCUGUACAACAUUGUUAAGUUACUAAUACGAAUAAUUGUCUCGCAUAUGAAGUUUUGCUGAGUCAAAAUAUCAAUAAGUAGUUUUAUGUUUGUAUAGGUAAUCGCAUGGGGCCGAGUAAAAUUAAGGAUUACUAUCA